rnacentral:rRNA from 1 species
GACGAACGCUGGCGGCGUGCUUAACACAUGCAAGUCGAACGGAAAGGCCCUGCUUUGGUGGGGUGCUCGAGGGGCGAAGGGGUGAGUAACACGUGAGUAACCUGCCCUUGACUGUGGGAUAACCUCAGGAAACUGGGGCUAAUACCGGAUAGGAGCUCCCGCUGCAUGGUGGGGGUUGGAAAGUUUCGGCGGUUGGGGGUGGACUCGCGGCUUAUCAGCUUGGUGGUGGGGUAGUGUCUUACCAAGGCUUUGAAAGGUAGCCGGGCUGGGAGGGUGACCGGCCCCAUCGGGCUGGGACUGCGGCACAGCCUCCUCCGCGACGGAAGGGUGGAGUAGGUUGUAUAGGGGGCGGGAGGCUGGUCUAGCCCAGCCGUGUGGGGGAUGAGGGGCAUGCGUUUGUAUAGCGCUUUUGCCUUAGCCGAAGCGUGAAUGACGGUACCGGGUGAAUAAGCACCGGCUAACUCCGUG